GACGAACGCUGGCGGCGUGCCUAAUACAUGCAAGUCGAACGCUAACGGAGGAACUUCCUUCUCUGGCUGAGUUGCGAACGGGUGAGUAACGCGUAGGUAACCUGACCGACAUCGUCGGAGGACUAUUGGAAACGAUAGCUACUACAGCAUAACAUUCGAUGUUCCAUGACAUUCACGUAAAAGUUGCAAUUUCAUCACUACCAGAUGGCGCUGCGUUGUUUUAGCGAGUUGGUGGGGUAACGGCUCAACAAGGCGACGAUACAUAGCCGAGCUGAGAGGGGGAUCGGGCACACUUGGACUGGGACAAGGCCCAGAAUCCUACGGGAGGCAGCAGGAGGGGAUCUUCGGAAAUUGGCGGAAGUCUGACCGAGGAACGACGGGGGAGUGAAGAAGGUUUUCGGAGUGGAAAAGUCUGUUGUAUGGGAAGGAAGAGUGGGAGAGUGGAAAGUUCACGUUGUGACGGUAUCUUACCAGAAAGCAACGGCUAACUACGUG
rnacentral:rRNA from 1 species